GCCCCCGCCCCGCAGGGCCCCCAGGCCGGGCGCUGGGGGCGCACAGGCAUACAGAUUCUCUCUCCUCACCACGCGGCUGCUGCUGGAGGAUGGAGGAGGGGUGGUGUCAGCAAUUCAAGACUGUCUUUCCUACCCUCUUCAGUGCCCUUCCUUGAUAAGCUGUUUAAACCAGAACCGACUGUUUCUGGAAAAGGUAAACAUCUAUUCUCCAAAGGGCAGUGACUUUCUACCUGUGAAAAUAAAAAGUAAACUUCAGAAGAAAAUUCUGAAAGAGGAAUUUAGAGAUGUUCCAAAUAAAGGCAAUAUAGUUUCACUGGAACUGAAAUGUUGCCUUCCAAUUCUACUACAGAAGGCAGAGUGGCACAUGUGGCACCUGGUCAGGAUGGACUCACUAAAGGAUUUAACCCAGACUUCUGAUCAACAAAUAUUGCUGCUACAUUAACUGAUUCGCAACAAAGAAAGAAAAUAUCAUCCAGUUGAUUUUAUUAUUUAAAUAUGGGCUCAAAUCUUAAAUCUGACAAACUAAUAAAUAAAUAUGUCUGAAAAGUAAAUAGUAAAUGGUGAACUGGUAUGGCUGAGGCAUUUGUACUGAACCCAUGCUGCUUCCUGGAGAUCACUGCAUUCUUUUCUGUGCUCAGUAAUCUACUUAAACUAUGUCAGAGAUUCGCCUGAGACUUACUUUCCUGUCCUUUCUGGCUCAUAUUAUUUCUUUAUUUAGAAAAUCAGAACAUUUGUUUGUUUUUAGGGUUCAAGCACCUCUUCUCAUCUCUAUAAUGUCUCCAAAUGUCUCAGAGGAUCCCUAACACUAUCUGUGUUUCUUGCACAUUAUGGUAUAAUUUAUCUGUGUCUAGAGAUCUGAAGUCAGGCAAAGUAGUUAAGGGCACUCUUUCUUCUUCCUCAUGUAUCUUGAGACACAGUUCUCUGCUCUUGUGGUUUGUCUGACCCUUUUGAGUUCCUGUUAUGCUUCCAUUUGCACCAGAAGACAAUGGAAAUCAAGUGAAAUUAAAUAUAAAAUGUCAGAACUAGAAACGCUAUUAGAUCAAGUUUAGAUAAAGAAAUGAGAGGGAUUUAAUCUGCUUUGUUCCUUACUAAGACAUGUACAUGGGGCUGUAUCCAAGAUAAAGCUAUGAAACACUUGAAACACUAACUCCCCUUGUACUGAGUCUAUGCUUAUGUGCAACAGACUUUUGAUAGUAAUUUGGCUUUCUGUGUAGAUCCACCUAUAGAUAAAAAAAAAUACUUACCGGAAGAUCCAAGACCCAGUUAUAAGUUAAUAGAUGAACUUCUAAUUUAUACAUCAGAGCUUGUUAGUGGAUGUCUAUCUGGGGGUCGGAGAGAGGGAGAGAUUGAUCCACUGUCAUUAUGCUGCUACAUCAGGUUCCUGAGAUAUAGCCCUUGGAACAUGGAGAUCACACCAGGGUACUGCCCCUUCAAAGCCUCUUUGGGCACCUAGCAACCCUUCUCCAUGGUGUACUUUGACUCCAUCUUGUUGCUAGUUGUCCACAAAUGCCUGUUCUGUGAGAUGGUCCACCUCUUGGUUUGUAAGGCCAGACAGACAUAAGCACAGCUACUUCUCAAGAGGCUGUUACUGACCACAAUAGGUCUUUUCUGUUUUGUUUUGUUUUGUUUUGUUUUGAGACAGAGUCUCACUCUGUUGCCCAGGUUGGAGUGCAGUGGUACGAUCUUGGCUCACUGCAACCUCUGCCUUCUGGGUUCAAGCAGUUCUCCUGCCUCAGCCUCUGAGUAGCUGGGAUUACAGGCGCCCACCACCAUGGCCAGCUAAUUUUUUUUUUUUUUUAUUUUUUUAGUACAGAUGGGGUUUCACCAUGUUGGUCAGGCUGGUCUUGAACUCCUGACCUCAAGUGAUCCAACUGCCUCAGCCUCCCAAAGUGCUGAGAUUACAGGUGUGAGCCACCGCGCUCGGUUGGUUUUUUCUUCCUAAAGGCAAAACCCAGAAUCUUUCCACCUGUUAACACCUGUAAAUCUUCUGAAAUACUCCUUGAAACAAAGACUGCUGUUUCUUCUUUAAACGUAUGACAUGAAAAUCCAUUUUUACAACGAUGCAGUGAAAUAUGCAGCUAUGUGGAAAGCUUCAAGGAUAAAGAAUGAUUACAAUAGACUUCAUUCAAAACUUUUUAGGGAUUCUUCAAAUAAUGAUAUCUAAUUGGAGAGUCUGAUACAUGUUCCAAGGCUGAAUCCUGGGCCUUUAUAGCAACCAGAAAAAAAAAAAAAAAAACGAUUGAAAAUGCCUAAAAGCUCUAACACCCACUUUAAAAAAUGCUUUGAAAUUAUAAUUAUUGAAAAAAUACUAUUUGGAACUAUAUCAUGAUUAAGAAAGCAUCAGAAAAUAAAGUAGCUUGGCAAUUUUGAGUUACUCUCCAACUAAAAAAAUCUGUUUAAUGGACUUUGAAAUGAUUUUGUAUUUGUGUUUAAAAAAUAUGCAUCUCUAUCCAGGUUGACAGCUUAAGUACCAGGCUCUAGCCAAACACAAUCUGAAGUGACUAAGGCAUUGCUUCUUAAAUAAGAGCAAAUUGGAACUGCCAUUUCAAAUCACUACCAUGUCUUCUGGCAAGACUAGAUUAGCACUCACACUCACAUCUGAUGAGGGAGUCACCUCAAGAUUGCAAACAGCCAAUUUGGAUUACCCAGCAAGGGCAUGUUAAAACCAGCAAAGGGUUGCCAGGCCUCUGUUCUUUGGCCAGCCUAUAUAGAAUGGAGAAUUUUGUAGAAGUGAUGUGUUCAACACUUGGACACGUUUAAGAAGACAGCUUGAGUCUAGUUUCUUUGGUCCCUAGGCCAGCUCAAAAUAACCAGGCACAUGCCCUUGCUGACCUCUAAAGGCAGGUCACUCUUAAAGUAAGAGUCUUACUGGCUCUUGCUUGACAUCUCUUCUUUGUUUCAUUCUGCUACCUGACUUUGGUUCUGCUUCUGGCCCUUUGGAAUUGGUGUUUGAACUUGGUCUCUGUUCUUUAGGCCCUGGAUUUUCCUAACAGAUUCCAAUUGGGUUUAUCCUGCUGGCUGUCUAUGAGCUAGGCUACCCUACUUCUUGCCCUUCUGAGGCUAACUUCCAGCAUAGUCCACUUGGCUGACUGGUUCUUCUCUGUGUCUGCAAGAGUAUAUGUGAGUGUUUGGUGGAGAGGGGAAUAGGAUGUAUGCUCAAUUUGAAUAAUCACUCACUAAAAUGAGAGAGAGAGAGAGAGAGAGAGAGAUCUAAACAUGGGGAGUAGAAAGUAAUACAAUUGCUUCUCCUUAUUGACUAUCCUUAGGUUUGAGGUAAAUUCUUAAUUAGGUAUUUAGUUCCCUCCCAAGUAUUUUAUCACAGGCCUCAGAUUCUGCUGCCACCUGGUGCUAAAAUGUUCUAGGUAGUGAUGACUAAAUAGUUUGACAAACUCCAAGAAGUAUCACCUAGAUUCAGAGAUAACAUACUAAUUAGGAGGCUGGAUAUUUAACAUAGUAAGUAAAAGAUAUAACAUAAAAAAAAAACAAGAAUAGCUUAGUGUAAUACAUAAUGAAUAUGUUAUACUUAUAAACAGAUAUAUAAGAUGUAAUAAUAGUAGAUUACUAUAUAGUUCUGAGCUAUCACUAUCUCUUAGAAGUAUGGUCCAUGUCAGGGCCAGGUGCAGUGGCUCAGGCCUAUAAGAUCCCAGCCCUUUGGGAGGCUGAGGCAGGCGGAUCACCUGAGGUCAGGAGUUCAAGACCAGCCUGGCCAACGUGGCAAAACCCCGUCUCUAAAAAAAAAAAUAUAUAUAUAUGUAUAUAUAUAUAUAUAUAUGUGUGUGUGUGUGUGUGUGUGUAUAUAUAUGUAUGUAUGUAUAUAUAUACACACUGUACACACACACACAAAAUAAAUUAGCUGGGCAUGGUGGCACACGCCUGUAGUCCCAGCUACUUGGGAGGCUGAGGUAACAGAAACGCUUGAACCCAGGAGGUGGAGGUUGCAGUGAGCUGAGAUCGUGCCACUGUACUCCAGCCUGGGCAACAGAGUGAGACUCUGUUUCAAAAAAAGAAAAAGAAAAAGAAAGAAAUAAAAGAAGUAUGGUCUAUGUCUAAUCCCCAUUUGAGCUGUCACUUCCAAAUAUGACAGAAUGCUUAGUGUUAAUACACAUUAACAGCAAAUAAUUUCACUUAAUGGCCUCCCUAACUGAAAAAAGUUUUCUGCCAGCUUCUAAAUUAAGAUUGGUUAAUUUUGCCCAAGGUUUAUUUAUAUUUCACAGAAAUUAUUUUUUUCUUUUGUGGAGUUUAUUGAUCUGCCAUUUCUCCCCAGUCUUCAUUUUGCCACCAUUUUUCUCUAUUGCUCCUCCAAGCAGGGUCUGUUUCCAUUGCUUCUGGUUUUUCCAAAAUUGUUUUGUUUCUAUUCUUUAACUCUCUGUCCUGUGAGAUUUUCAUAUUCCCGGUGAUUACAUAUCAUCCACCCAAUCUUUCCCAGUGUAACUUUUACAGAAAGACUGUCCUAUUGGACUCCUAAAUACAGCAAUACCUUACUCAUUUGGCUUUUGAGUCCCAACUAUUGAGGGACAUAAGAAGAAUUUUUCCAAGGUUCAGGCAAAAGAGAAAUUCAGUAGGACCAUUCAUCUAAGACAGAUAGUAUUUUCCAGAGAUGAUCAAAAGAAUAAUUCCCACUCCACAUGCUUUUUUUUUUUUUUUUUUUUUUACACAAUAUGACUUCUGUUCUGUUUUCAUAGAGAAGUGGAAUCUAAACUCUCUUCCCUAGAAUCUGGGUGGGUUUGUGACUUUGGAAGAAGUGAUGCUGUGUGACUUCACUUAGAUGUGACUUAGGUUAGAUGAUAAAAAGUGAUAAAGUUUCACCACCACCAAGCUGUGAGGAAAACCAAAGUAGCUCAUACAGAGACACCACAUGGAGAGGCCACUGUAUUUUUUCCAGCUGACAGCUCAACUGAAGUCCCAGCCACAGCCAGCAUCAACUGCAAAGACACCUCCAGAUGACUGCAACCCCAGCCAUCAAGUCAUUCCCAGCCUUCAAGCCUUCCCAGCUGAGGCCCAGACAUCAGAGAAGGUAAACAAGCCACCUCUGCUGUGCUCUGUUCACAUUCCUGAUCCACAGAAACCAUGAGGACAAUAAGAUUGUUGUUUUAUGCCACUAAGUUUUUAGAGUGGUUUGUUACAUAGCAAGAACAAUAGAAAUGGUAUCAUAUUUAGUAUGUUCCUCACAAAUUGUGAGCAAGUAUCCCAAGAUGGGUGCAGAGCCCAACUUCCUUCUAGUUCAUAUGUAAGUUUCUUGUCAUCCUGAGGCAUUUUUUGAAUAAAAAAAUUAAUUCAAGAUGGAUUAAAGACUUAAAUGUUAGACCUAAAACCAUAAAAACCCUAGAAGAAAACCUAGGCAAUACCAUUCAGGACAUAGGCACGGGCAAGGACUUCAUGUCUGAAACACCAAAAGCAAUGGCAACAAAAGCCAAAAUAGACAAAUGGGAUCUAAUUAAACUAAAGAGCUUCUGCACACCAAAAGAAACUAUCAUCAGAGUGAACAGGCCACCUACAGAAUGGGAGAAAAUUUUUGCAAACUACUUAUCUGACAAAGGGCUAAUAUCCAGAAUCUACAAAGAACUCAAACAAAUUUACAAGAAAAAAACGAACAACCCCAUCAAAAAGUGGGUGAAGGAUAUGAACAGACACUUCUCAAAAGAAGACAUUUAUGCAGGCAACAGGCACAUGAAAAAAUGCUCAUCGUCACUGGCCAUCAGAGAAAUGCAAAUCAAAACCACAGUGAGAUACCAUCUCACACCAGUUAGAAUGGCGAUCAUUAAAAAGUCAGGAAACAACAGGUGCUGGAGAGGUUGUGGAGAAAUAGGAACACUUUUACACUGUUGGUGGGCGUGUAAACUAGUUCAACCAUUGUGGAAGACAGUGUGGCGAUUCCUCAAGGAUCUAGAACUGGAAAUACCAUUUGACCCAGCCAUCCCAUUACUGGGUAUAUACCCAAAGGAUUAUAAAUCAUGCUGCUAUAAAGACACAUGCACACGUAUGUUUAUUGUGGCACUAUUCACAAUAGCAAAGACUUGGAACCAACCCAAAUGUCCAUCAAUGAUAGACUGGAUUAAGAAAAUGUGGCACAUAUACACCAUGGAAUACUAUGCAGCCAUAAAAAAUGAUGAGUUCAUGUCCUUUGUAGGGACAUGGAUGAAGCUGGAAACCAUCAUUCUCAGCAAACUUUCGCAAGGACAAAAAACCAAACACCGCAUGUUCUCACUUAUAGGUGGGAAUUGAACAAUGAGAACACUUGGGCACAGGAAGGGGAACAUCACACACCGGGGCCUGUCGUGAGGUGGGGGAAGGGGGGAGGGGUAGCAUUAGGAGAUAUACCUACUGUAAAUGACGAGUUAAUGGGUGCAGCACACCAACAUGGCACAUGUAUACAUAUGUAACAAACCUGCAUGUUGUGCACAUGUACCCUAGAACUUAAAAGUAUAAAAAAAAAAGGCAAAAGUGAAGCCGUUGUCAUUACUGUCUUAAGGUUGCUGUAGUCAGAUGUGGUGACGGACAGAUUCAGAGGAGUCCAGUGGGUCCAUCUUGGUCCUCUCCCAUUUGCAUUUAAACAUGUCUUUUCCAUCUUUAAAAAUCUCUCCUUUAACCUCAUGUCUCCUUCCAUACUACCUUCUUUUCUUUCAUGCUAACUGUGUCCGUUUUCAUUUUUCUACUCUAUCUUCUGCUAUGGGUCUCUGCCACCUCCUUACCCCUAAAACUGUUCUCACCGUUCUUCCCACAUACCCAUUAUUUCUGGAUAUCUAUUACUAUCAUAUGCCGAUGGCUCUCAAGACUAUAUCUACUGGCAGGGCGCAGUGUCUCACACAUGUUACCUCAGCACUUUGGGAGACCAAGCCGGUCGGAUGGCUUGAACUCAGGAGUUUGAGACCAGCCUGGGCGACACAAUGAAACCUCGUCUUUACUAAAAAUUCAAAAAUUAGCCAGGUAGUGGUGACAUGCGCCUGUGGUCCCAGCUACUUAGAAGGCUGAGGCAGGAGGAUUGCUUGAGCCCAGGAGUUUGAGACUGCAGUGAGCUGUGAUUGUGCCACUCCACUCCAGCCUGUGCAACAGAGUGAGGCCCUGUCUUAAAAAAAAGAGAGAGAGAAAGAGAAUAUAUCUACCCAGAUGUCUCCUCUGAGUUUCAUACUUUCAUAUCUAAUGAUCUCUACCUCUACCUGGGUGGCAGACAAGUGCUUAAACUCAGAAUGUUCAUAAUUAAACUCAUCAUAUUUCCAGUCAAAACUGUACCUUCUUCAUAUCUCAGCAAAUAGCACCAUCAUCCACUCAGGUUUCCAAACCAGAAAUCAGGUUCGAAAAUUCCCAUGUGUCUCCCUCCCACUGUCACUUUCCUAGUUGAGGUUUCCUUUAUCUCUGGCCUGGAAGAAUGCAGUAGUCAUUCUUCCUGAAGUGAAGAUCCCAUUGUAUAAU
rnacentral:lncRNA from 1 species